rnacentral:rRNA from 1 species
AUUGAACGCUGGCGGCAGGCCUAACACAUGCAAGUCGAACGAGUGGCGGACGGGUGAGUAAUGUCUGGGAAACUGCCUGAUGGAGGGGGAUAACUACUGGAAACGGUAGCUAAUACCGCAUACCAUCAGAUGUGCCCAGAUGGGAUUAGCUUGGUGGUGGGGUAACGGCUCACCAAGGCGACGAUCCCUAGCUGGUCUGAGAGGAUGACCCGCCAACCUGGAAACUGAACAAGGUCCCAGCCCCCUAGGGGGGCCGCCAUGGGGGAUAUUGGACAAUGGGCGCAAGCCUGAUGCAGCCAUGCCGCGUGUAUGAAGAAGGCCUUCGGGUUGUAAAGUACUUUCAGCGGGGAGGCGUUACCCGCAGAAGAAGCACCGGCUAACUCCGUGCCAGCAGCCGCGGUAAUAC